rnacentral:rRNA from 1 species
CGCGGUAAUACAGUGGGUGCUAGCGUUAAUCGGAUUUACUGGGCGUAAAGCGUGCGUAGGCGGCUGAUUAAGUCGGAUGUGAAAUCCCUGAGCUUAACUUAGGAAUUGCAUUCGAUACUGGUCAGCUAGAGUAUGGGAGAGGCUGGUAGAAUUCCAGGUGUAGCGGUGAAAUGCGUAGAGAUCUGGAGGAAUACCGAUGGCGAUGGCAGCCAUCUGGCCUAAUACUGACGCUGAGGUACGAAAGCAUGGGGAGCAAACAGGAUUAGAUACCCUGGUAGUCCAUGCCGUAAACGAUGUCUACUAGCCGUUGGGGCCUUUGAGGCUUUAGUGGCACAGCUAACGCGAUAAGUAGACCGCCUGGGGAGUACGGUCGCAAGACUAAAACUCAAAUGAUUUGACGGGGGCCCGCACAAGCGGUGGAGCAUGUGGUUUAAUUCGAUGCAACGCGAAGAACCUUACCUGGUCUUGACAUAGUAAGAACUUUCCAGAGAUAGAUUGGUGCCUUCGGGAACUUUCAUACAGGUGCUGCAUGGCUGUCGUCAGCUCGUGUCGUGAGAUGUUGGGUUAAGUCCCGCAACGAGCGCAACCCUCGCCCUUAGUUGCCACCAUUCAGUUGGGCACUCUAAGGGGACUGCCGGUGAUAAGCCGCGAUGAAGGUGGGGAUGACGUCAAGUCCUCAUGGCCCUUACAGGUUGGGCUACACACGUGCUACAAUGGCGGUGACAGAGGGAAGCGGAGGAGUGAUCCCGAGCCAAUCUCAAAAAGCCGUCUCAGUUCGGAUUGCACUCUGCAACUCGAGUGCAUGAAGGUGGAAUCGCUAGUAAUCGCAGAUCAGCAUGCUGCGGUGAAUACGUUCCCGGGCCUUAUACACACCGCCCGUCACACCAUGGGAGUUGGUUUUACCCGAAGGCGUUUCGCCAACCGCAAGGGGGCAGACGACCACGGCAGGG